UGGGUUGUGGCUUAGUGGUAGAACACUUGCCUAGUAUGCUUGAGGCAUUGGGUUCAAUCCCCAGCACCACAU
rnacentral:tRNA from 1 species